GACAGCAGCAGCCACGGGAAUACGAAGGGGGCUAGCGUUGUUCGGAAUUACUGGGCGUAAAGCGCACGUAGGCGGACAUUUAAGUCAGGGGUGAAAUCCCGGGGCUCAACCCCGGAACUGCCUUUGAUACUGGGUGUCUAGAGUAUGGAAGAGGUGAGUGGAAUUCCGAGUGUAGAGGUGAAAUUCGUAGAUAUUCGGAGGAACACCAGUGGCGAAGGCGGCUCACUGGUCCAUUACUGACGCUGAGGUGCGAAAGCGUGGGGAGCAAACAGGAUUAGAUACCCCGGUAGUCCCUGUCUCUUAUAC
rnacentral:rRNA from 1 species